rnacentral:rRNA from 1 species
UGGCGGCGUGCUUAACACAUGCAAGUCGAACGAUGAAGCACCAGCUUGCUGGUGUGGAUUAGUGGCGAACGGGUGAGUAACACGUGAGUAACCUGCCCCUCACUCUGGGAUAAGCCUGGGAAACUGGGUCUAAUACUGGAUACGACCGAUCUCCGCAUGGAGUGUUGGUGGAAAGUUUUUGUGGUGGGGGAUGGACUCGCGGCCUAUCAGCUUGUUGGUGGGGUAAUGGCCUACCAAGGCGACGACGGGUAGCCGGCCUGAGAGGGCGACCGGCCACACUGGGACUGAGACACGGCCCAGACUCCUACGGGAGGCAGCAGUGGGGAAUAUUGCACAAUGGGCGAAAGCCUGAUGCAGCGACGCCGCGUGAGGGAUGACGGCCUUCGGGUUGUAAACCUCUUUCACCAGGGACGAAGCUAACGUGACGGUACCUGGAGAAGAAGCACCGGCUAACUACGUGCCAGCAGCCGCGGUAAUACGUAGGGUGCGAGCGUUGUCCGGAAUUAUUGGGCGUAAAGAGCUUGUAGGCGGUUUGUCGCGUCUGCUGUGAAAGACCGGGGCUUAACUCCGGUUCUGCAGUGGGUACGGGCAGACUAGAGUGUGGUAGGGGAGACUGGAAUUCCUGGUGUAGCGGUGAAAUGCGCAGAUAUCAGGAGGAACACCGAUGGCGAAGGCAGGUCUCUGGGCCAUUACUGACGCUGAGAAGCGAAAGCAUGGGGAGCGAACAGGAUUAGAUACCCUGGUAGUCCAUGCCGUAAACGUUGGGCGCUAGGUGUG